rnacentral:rRNA from 1 species
GGGCUCUGAGAGGAGGGCCACGGAGAUGGGUACUGAGACACGGACCCAGGCCCUAAUGGGGCGCAGCAGGCGAGAAACCUUUGCAAUGUGCGAAAGCACGACAAGGUUAAUCCGAGUGUCUCCUGCUAAAGGAGUCUUUUGUCAGUUGUAGAAUCACUGGUGAAUAAGGGGUGGGCAAGUUCUGGUGUCAGCCGCCGCGGUAAAACCAGCACCUCGAGUGGUCAGGAGGUUUAUUGGGCCUAAAGCAUCCGUAGCCGGUUGCAUAAGUUUUCGGUUAAAUCUAUGCGCUUAACGUAUAGGCCGCCGAAAAUACUGUGCAGCUAGGGAGUGGGAGAGGUACACGGUACUCGAUAGGAAGGGGUAAAAUCCUUUGAUCUAUUGAAGACCACCUGUGGCGAAGGCGGUGUACCAGAACACGUUCGACGGUGAGGGAUGAAAGCUGGGGGAGCAAACCGGAUUAGAUACCCGGGUAGUCCCAGCUGUAAACGAUGCAGACUCGGUGAUGCAUUGGCUUGUGGCCAAUGCAGUGCCGCAGGGAAGCCGUUAAGUCUGCCGCCUGGGAAGUACGUACGCAAGUAUGAACUUAAAGGAUUGGCGGGGGAGCACCACAGGAUGAGCUGCGUUCAAUUGGAUCA